AUUGAACGCUGGCGGCAGGCCUAACACAUGCAAGUCGAGCGAGCGGCGGACGGGUGAGUAAUGUAUGGGGAUCUGCCUGAUGGCGGGGGAUCACUACUGGAAACGGUAGCUAAUACCGCAUAACAUCAGAUGAACCCAUAUGGGAUUAGCUUGUAGGUGGGGUAACGGCGCACCUAGGCCACGCUCCCUAGUUGGGCUGAGAGGAUGAUCAGCCACACGGGAACUGUGACACGGUCCAGACUCCGACGGGAGGCAGCAGUGGGGAAUAUUGCACAAUGGGCGCAAGCCUGAUGCAGCCAUGCAGCGUGUAUGAAGAAGGCCUUCGGGUUGUAAAGUACUUUCAGUGGGGAGGCGUUACCUACAGAAGAAGCACCGGCUAACUCCGUGCCAGCAGCCGCGGUAAUAC
rnacentral:rRNA from 1 species